rnacentral:lncRNA from 1 species
UAUUAUGGGAUUGGGGUAUUUUGAGAAUAAUAAAAGUUUUCACAUGGUUAUUCCCAAACAUAUAUUUUUAGAGAGGGGACUGCUUCCAAAAUCCUUCUUCUCCCACAACCCAGUAGUGAAGAUCACAAUUCUUCUUUCUCUCAUACAUAUGAAAGUUCAAAGUAUCGAAUGCCUCUCGUGACAUGAAGAGGAAGUCCCAAACUGGGAUCAGAGCUUUUUUCGUCAAAAUAUGUAUACAGAUAGAUAGAUAGAUAGAUAGAUAGGCAUUUAAGAGCAUUUGGCUCCACAUGCUUCCCAAUGAAAAACAUUCAAAAUAAAAAUCAGCAUGAUUGAUCAUAUCUAUGAUAUAUAAAAUGACUAGAAGCAAAAAAAAAAUCAUGAAUUUUGAGUUUUUUAAUUGUGCAUCCAAUGGAAACAAAACUGACAACUUCAAUGGUAUAAUAUAUUUUGAUCUUCAGCAUAGAAACAUUCAAAUCAAGGUUCGUCGUCUCGGUACCGGACUCUGUACUGGUAUCACACUAGCACAAUGUCGGUACGGUACAGUAUAGAAUUUUUUUUGGCAUACCGAGUGUCAGUAUGCCCCCCGUACUGGGUACCAAUACCGAACUGACAUGGUACGGUACGCUCCGUACCGUCCAGUUCGGGCCGAUAUGGCAUACUAUGAUCCAAAUUAGAUGAAAUUUAA